rnacentral:lncRNA from 1 species
GUGCAUGGAUGACUUUCUUUUAUAGGUAGAUGAAUCUCAAGUCAAUAAUAUGGGGAUACUAGAGCAAGAGUACGGGUGCUUGAUAGAAAUCAAGGGUAUUAAGCAUGACCAACAUGAGAAGUCACUUAGAUGGCUGCCCACUCAUCAUGACUUACUCGAUGUUGCAAUUGUGUAGAUAGUUCUUUGAUCUGUAGUGCCUCGAUUGUUCAUAAUGAGAUUACUGUAGUUUGACUGCACAAUCACUUGGUUACCUAGCCAUUUGAAAUCUUACGGUGUAUGUUGGUUGCAAUACAUUCAUUGUAGGAACAAGAUGUGCACCA